GCAGGUGCAAUGUUGUAAUAGAGGUAGCAGGCCUGAGCGUGUGCAAUGUUGUAAUAGAGGUAGCAGGGCUGAGCGUGUGCAAUGUUGUAAUAGAGGUACAAGCAACACAGGGAUAGGGAGAAGGUGAUCCACAUUGCAGGGGCCUAAUUACAGGGGGCCCUGAAUGCCAAGCCAAGACUUGGAAAAUUAGAAGGUCUACAAGGACUCCAGAACUCUCCAGGAGUGAUGAAAGAUGGUGUCUUAGCCUGGGUUUCUGCAACAAGCAGAGCCUAGCACAACAUGGUGGUUUACUUUGAAAAGUGAUCCCAAGAAACAGGAGUGAGAGGCUCGGAAGAGUCAAACGGAAAGAGGACAAGCCAACCAAGGCUGUGCCUGGGUGCAUCACGAUUCACCUAAAAAUCACCACUGAAAUCCGCAGCAGGCAAUUGUGCCAGACAACAGGUGAUGACGGGGGCAAACACGACUCAGCUUCUGCCUGCAGCAUCUACAGUCAUGGAAGGAGACCUCCGGUAACCCAGUGAUUGAAAUAACGCAUUUAAGUGCCACAAGGGGAACUAAGAGUGCCACCCAGCAGGGGCGAGUCACCUGACCCGGGGUGUCCAGGAGACAGCAUGGAGGAAGCCAUCUGCCCACUGAGACUAGGAGGGGGAUCUCAAAGUUACAAAGCAAAGGGGCUGGGGCAGAGACCAUUCACAGUAGCAGGAGGAAGACUGCUGAGGGGACAGACAGAGGUGAAAGUGUGGUGUUUGCUGUGAGAGGGAGCAGACGCUCACUGCCAUAGAUCUCAGAGACCACCAAGGCUGAAUAAGCUGAACAACGCAUGCGGAAAGUCCACAGGCCUGCACACCAAUGGCCACAGCCUGUUCUCUCCCUGCAGGUAGGACACUCAUGCGGUACCACCCUUCCUGAGGACACCUUCCUUCCAUUGCCUGGACAGCAGCAUCCUGCCCUGGGCCACCCUCCAUGUGGAUGCCCUUCCCACUUCCCCAGGGCACUGACUCCAAGCGCAAGGUGCCCUUGCAAUAGACACUCUCCUCACCCCUCUAGUUCUGCCAUCCUGCCCUGGGCCACCUUCUGUGUAGACCCCUCCUCACCCCACUGAGGGUCUGAGUCUCCGUGCCAGGACAUCCUCCCUGGACAGGACCCCCUUCGGACCCUGCUUUGGUCUCCGACACAUGCUGGGCUGCCCCCUCCUAUGUUGGCACCCUCCUCGCUCCACAUGGGCAACCUCACACUGGACCACCGCCCUUGUGUGAGCCUCUAUCUCACCCCGGUGGACUCCACCCUCCUGCUCUGGGCACGCUACUUCCUCCCCACUCAGCUACAGAGGCCUGCCUUGCUCUACCUUACCUAAUGGCUUCUGAACAGAAUUUUCUAGAAGGGAGAGGAAGAAGCAUCGAGCUGGUUCUCUUGGCCUGUUCCUGGAUCCCAUCCUUCUCCUUUGUUCCCGGCUCCUCCAUUCUCUAGGAAUCUCAAUCUCUUCCGGCAUUGCUGAGUUCUCAAGCUCUCUACUUUCCACUGAGCCUGUGAGUCCAGCAGGGACUGGGGUUGGGAUGCAGUUUUCAGAGACCUGUGACUACACCUUUGUUACUGGAUAGACUCCUCAGCCCUGGAUCAGCCACAGCCCUCUCCCAGGAAGCCCCUCAACUCUCUGCUAUUACCCUUCUCCAAGGCCUGAAAACAGGACUCUCUCUUCGAGAAGAUCACAGACCCUUGAGAAGAUACAGAAAUUCUCUGCUCGGCCCAAGUCAAAAUAAAAUGACUGAAUAGGCCAGGGCAGCACAGACGAGAGAGGAGUUUUCUCUGGGGCAGUGGUUCUCCAAGUGUAGUCACUGAGCAAGCAGCAGCAGAGUCAGCUGGGAACUUGUGGGACAUACAGAUCCUGGAGCCCCACCCAGACUACUGAAGCAGAACCUCCUGGGGUGGCGCUGGCAAUCUGUGUUUUAAUAAGCCCUCCUCAUUCUGAUGUCCUCUAAAGUGUGAGAACCACAGCUCCAGAAUACUGCAGGGCAGUGACGGGUGGAGGAGAAGGAGUAGGGCUGACUUCUCAGAAGAGUCCCGAAGACCUUGUCCUUGAGUCUGCAGAGAAGUUCACCAGGCAGACAAAGAAAGAAAGAGCAAGCCCAGGCAUACCCACAAGUACCAUCUGAGCUCUGCAUACCUUCUGAUAUAUGUUUAAUAAUCUUGGAAUAACAAUUGUAUUGAUAUUAUGUUGUUUAGAGUAAGUGGCAAUGUAUUCUUUGAAGAGUUAAAACUGUUUUCUGUGUUUAGAAAAGUUCUCACUUGAACUUAAUUUUGUGUUCUAAAUUUAACUAAGGAUUAUUUUUAUACAAACUUUUGAAAGCUUACUAAAUUUAUCUGAUUAACUUGUUAACAGUAGGUAGUUAGGCAGACAUAAGCAGGGCAGACCCCCACCCCCACCCCAGGAACGUCAGACAACCAUCAGGUGAUGGUCAGGAAGUUGUUCCACUGCUCCCUAAAAUAAUAACUGAUCGCACCCAGCACCAGGGAAAGGCAGUCUCCCAAUAGAUAGAAAACACCUGGCCGGGCACGGUGGCUCACGCCUG
rnacentral:lncRNA from 10 species